CACGUAGGGUGCGAGCGUUGUCCGGAAUUAUUGGGCGUAAAGAGCUCGUAGGCGGUGUGUCGCGUCGGCCGUGAAAACCUGCAGCUUAACUGUGGGCUUGCGGUCGAUACGGGCAUCACUGGAGUUCGGCAGGGGAGACUGGAAUUCCUGGUGUAGCGGUGAAAUGCGCAGAUAUCAGGAGGAACACCGGUGGCGAAGGCGGCUCUCUGGACCACUACUGACGCUGAGGCGCGAAAGCUAGGGGAGCAAACAGG
rnacentral:rRNA from 1 species